rnacentral:rRNA from 1 species
GAUGAACGCUAGCGGCAGGCUUAAUACAUGCAAGUCGUGGGGCAGCAUGAGUAGCAAUACUUGAUGGCGACCGGCAAACGGGUGAGGAACACGUACACAACCUUCCUUCAAGCGGGGAAUAGCCCAGAGAAAUUUGGAUUAAUACCCCAUAAUAUAUUUGAUAAGGCAUCUUAUUAAUAUUAAAGCUUCGGCACUUGAUGAUGGGUGUGCGGCUGAUUAGAUAGUUGGCGGGGUAACGGCCCACCAAGUCUACGAUCAGUAGCUGAUGUGAGAGCAUGAUCAGCCACACGGGCACUGAGACACGGGCCCGACUCCUACGGGAGGCAGCAGUAAGGAAUAUUGGACAAUGGACGAAAGUCUGAUCCAGCCAUGCCGCGUGAAGGAUUAAGGUCCUCUGGAUUGUAAACUUCUUUAUAUGGGACGAAAAGGGCAUUCUUGUUCACUUGACGGUACCAUAUGAAUAAGCACCGGCUAACUCCGUGCCAG